rnacentral:rRNA from 1 species
UGGGGAAUUUUGGACAAUGGGGGAAACCCUGAUCCAGCCAUCCCGCGUGUGCGAUGAAGGCCUUCGGGUUGUAAAGCACUUUUGGCAGGAAAGAAACGUCAUGGGUUAAUACCCCGUGAAACUGACGGUACCUGCAGAAUAAGCACCGGCUAACUACGUGCCAGCAGCCGCGGUAAUACGUAGGGUGCAAGCGUUAAUCGGAAUUACUGGGCGUAAAGCGUGCGCAGGCGGUUCGGAAAGAAAGAUGUGAAAUCCCAGAGCUCAACUUUGGAACUGCAUUUUUAACUACCGGGCUAGAGUGUGUCAGAGGGAGGUGGAAUUCCGCGUGUAGCAGUGAAAUGCGUAGAUAUGCGGAGGAACACCGAUGGCGAAGGCAGCCGCCUGGGAUAACACUGACGCUCAUGAACGAAGGCGUGGGGAGCAAACAGG